rnacentral:tRNA from 1 species
GGAGGGGUGGCCGAGCGGUUUAAGGCAGUGGUCUUGAAAACCACCGAUGGGUAAAUCCAUCCGAGAGUUCGAAUCUCUCUCCCUCCG